GCCAGAGGAGAGAAGUGACAAUCCCAAGGUCACCCAGUAAGUUAUAGUUAGAGCCCCUCUACGCCAGGCUGCCUCGAAAGGAGAGGUCACUCAGACAGCAGUCACACUUACCUGUAACUGUGGGUUUAUAAUAAAAAAUGGCAAGAAUAACAUAAAUGUCCAGAUAUUCACCACUCAGCUUACAAACUACAGUUUUGCAAAUAUAGUCCAAGUCUUCUAAGUACCCCUCUCUGGUCCCAUCUCACUUCCUUAUAGAGGUAACCACUGUUUUAAAGCUGGUGUUUAUCUUUUCUAUGCAUGUCUUUCUACAUAUACCACUGUGUUGAUUUGCUAGGGAUGCCUUAGCAAAGUACCAUAAACUGUGGGGCCUAAGCAACAGAAAGUAGUUCUCUCAUAGCUCUGGAGGCUGAAGUCCAAGACCAAGGUGUGAGCAGGCUGGUUCCUUUCCCUCUGUCUCCACAUGGCCGGCCCUCUGUAUGUGUCUCUCCUAAUGGCUUCUUCUUCUAAGGAUGCCAGUCCGAUGGAAUCUGGGCCCACCUUAAUGACCUCAUUUUAAUUUAACAACCUCUUUGAAGGCCCUGUCUCCACAUACAGUCACAUUCUGAGAGUGCUGGGUUAGGGCUUCAACAUAUGAAUUUUGGGGGGCACAUUUAUUUUGGCCUGUAACAACCUCCUACAUGCUCUUUCUCCUACAGAUAAUUUUUUGGGAGAUAAUCAACAAUGCUGCAAUGAAUAUUCUCACACAAGAAGGGGGAAAUUUGGACACAGACAUACACAGAAGGACACCGUGUGAAGAUGAAGAUGGCCACCUGUGAGCCAAGGAAAGAGCCCUGGAAUGAAGCAACGCUGCCUACACCUUGCCUUCAGAUUUCUAGCCUCCGGAGCUGUAGGGAAAUAAAUUCCUGCUGUUUAAGCCCUUCA